UUUUUUUUUUUUCCCCCCUGUAGAAGUUUGUUAUAAUGACCUACCAUGCAGUCUCUGAUUAUUCAGGGAUUCUCAAGCUAACUUCCUAUCCUGAAUUUUCCUCUUGGGCAAAUUCCCAAAUUGCUCACAAUCACUCUCUCUUAUGCUAAAACUUAUAGUCCUGCACCGUAUUCUCUCAAAGUCUCAGCAAACAUUUGGUUAAAAAUCUACUAAAUCUACCCUAUAUACACCACAAGUGUUCUUAACCUACUUCCACUUAGCUGACUCUGCAGAUCAAGUGGCACUGUCCAUUGCCUCCUGUGCCCCCAGCAUGCUGAGGGCCUCCAGCUAGCCUAACAUAUGUGAGUGUGGUCUGUGUGUUUUGCAGUACUGUGUGUGCAUACAACACUUUUUUUUUUUGGCAGAAAGCAGAUAGGGGACAGUAGAGAAUUUCUAUAAUAUCUUUCCAGUUUCACAGUAGUGACCUCACCAAAAGCAUGAACACAAAACAGCUAAUUUUUGUAUACUCUUCUUUUCUCUUCACAUUUUGCAAUAGCUACUAAAAGCUAAGCUCUUAGAGACUUAAAAUUUUAUUACUUUAUGAUGGAAUCCAUAAUGUCAUAAGGAAAGAGGGGAAAAGAAACAAAUAGGGGAAACAGGGUCUUGUUGGCCAUUCAUUGUCUUAACUAAGCAUGAUCUCCAUUUAAAGCUAUUUUCCUUUUCUUUUUUUCUUUUAUAGCUGUCCGCGGCACAUGGAGUUCCCAGAUCAGGGAUCAGAUCCAUGCCAUAGUCGCAACUUAUGCCGGAGCUACGGCAAUGCUGGAUCUUUUAAUCCACUAUGCUGGACCAGGGAUGAAACCUGCAUUCUGGUGCUGAAGACAUCCCGUUUCGCCACAGUGGGAACCCCUAGAGCUAUUUUUCAAUGAUGCAUCCUGGUUUUUCUAUCUCUAUUUUUGAUAUUCUUUCUGUUUUUAUAUUUGGUUUCAUUAAUUUUGCUACGAGCUUAAUUUAUUUAUUUAUUUAUUUUUGCCUUUUUAGGGCUGCACCCACAGCAUAUGGAAAUUCUCAGGCCAGGAGUUGAAUCAGAGCUAUAGCCACUGGCCAGGGAUCAAAACUUCGACCUCAUGCAUACUAGUCAGAAUAGUUUGAGCCACAAUGAGAACUCUGAUACAACAUUUUUAAUGUGUUGGAUUCCAAAUAUUUCAAUGUGUUGAAUUGCUCCCAACACUUAAUUAUUUUAUUAGAAUUAUGCAAAAGUUUUAUUUCUACCUUUUGUUUAAAUUCCCUGGAUUUUAAUAAAGUACAAAUAUUCUUUUUUCUUGGGGAAGUAUUUACUUCCAAGUCAAGAGAACUUAGACUAUUAUUCUGAGGAGAAGACAAGUUUAUUUCUGUCACCACUAUAUUGAUCAUGUUUCUAAAUUCUGUCUACCUGAGCACAAAGCAAAUUAAUCCUGUUAUGUGGAUUAUUGACAGACUGGAGGAAAAUACAAAAAAAAUAAAAGUCUCUGGAGAAGAUAUAACCUAUUAAAGUCCUAUCUUAAGAGUAUUCAAUAAAUUCAGAACCAACUACUUGUCUUUGGCAAACCAACAACCAAAUAGAAACCUAAAUACCACAUUACCUAGAUUUUAAGAGAGAUGUUCCUUCUUCAUACACAAGCAUUUUAGAAUAGUUUUAGACUUUCAGAAGAGUUAUAAAUAUUUAAAGAGCAUUGCUGUCUACCCUACUGAGUUUCCCUUGAUGCCACAUCUGACUUUAGUAUAGUAUAUGUUUCACAACUAACAAGCCAAUAUUGAUAUACUGUUUUUAACUAAAGUCCAUACUUUAUUCAAAUUUCCUUAGUUUUUACCUAAUGCUAUGUUUCAGUUCCAGGACCUUAUCCAGAAUACAGCUGAAAUCACUGAACUGGUCAGUAUCAAAACUAGGACGACAAUCUACAUAUCCCAUAUCCCAAUCUAGUACCAUUUCAACUACACAGUGCAAAUUCCUCCUUUAUCAAAGCCUUUCCUCAAGGCAUAAGAUAUCCACUAAAUUUAUCCAACUUUUGUGAAACACUGAGUCAAUUCAGUGAAUCAAAUUAUUAAACUAGUUUUUUGACUGACAUGACUCACUAGUGACCAAAAUGGUUGCUCCAAUAACAGCUUAUAGAAGGAGCUAGAGAAUCCAAAUUGGCAAGUUAGGUCUUUCAUUGGCUGAACAGAAAAUAUAGUAUCUCAGGGAUAGGAGAUGUGCAUAGGCUGUCCUGUGUGACUCUUCACUUCCCUCUCAGCAUCCCAUAUUCUCUUUCCCAAAUCCAGGUUGGGCUAGGCCCAAAAUAUAUAAGAUAGGUAAAAUUAAUUCUUUUUCUUUCACCUCCUUUUAUUUCAUAUGAGAUACUGCUGAUUGAAAAUAAAGUCUCAGAGUUCCUGUUGUGGCUCAUUAGGUUAAGAACCUAAUGUUGUCUCUGUGAGGAUGUGGGUUCAAUCCCUGGCCUUGCUAAGUGAGUUAAGGAUCCAGCCUUGCUGCAAGCUGCAACGUAGGUUACAGAUGAAGCUCAGAUCCAGUGUUGCUGUGGGUGUGGCUGUGGUGUAGGCUGGCAGCUGCAGCUCGGAUUCCACUUCUAGUCUGGAACUUCCAUAUGCUGCAGGUGCAGCUAUAAAAAUUUUAGAAAGAAAGAGAGAGAGAGAGAGAGGGAGGGAGGAAGGAAGGAAGAAAAUAAAGUCUCCUUUGAGCAGGGUGAUGUAUUACUUUAGUUUUGUCUAUUACAUCAGCUGAAGCACCUUGCGAUCUGUGUGGAAACAAGGAUAUGAGAAUGUAGUAUCUUUUCCUCUGUAUGCUCCCUCAGAAAGAAAAUUUCAGGAAUCAUCCAGAUUCCUGCUAAAGUUGGUAAAUUAUUCUAGGCUAUAUGUCCAUCUGAAUUUGAGCAAAGAAAUAUAUAAAGAGCAAAAAGAGAAAAAUUUGUGAAACUGCUGUUCAAAGGGCUUACCAUGUUUUACCAAAAUCUAUUACAGAAUUGCCUUGAAAUCUUCAAACUGGAUACAAAAAUCCAUGAGAGGAAAUUUGUGGAACAUAAAAUCCCUUGAUCAGUUUCAAACUUUAAAACUUUCAUUUUUUUUAGUUACCAGUUUUUUGCUACUGCAGCUUUUACUUAUCCUAGUCUAAGUAAUUCUGCAACCUUUAUUGAUCCUGCUAAAAACAUGUGACUCAUCACUGUAAGACCUUGUGCUUGGGAGUCAGAUUCCCUAAGCAGGUUUCCCCAGUUUUCUCUUUGGCCAGCCUUGAAGCAGCAUGCACACUGGAUACAACUGGAUACUUGGAUUUCCUAGAUCAUUGUUUCUCAACAUAUAGUCCACAGACUGACAAUGUCAGAAUCUCCAGAUAUUAUCUAAAAUGAAGAUUCCUGGGCUCCAGCAAACUAUGGCAUCAGGAUCUCUCCUGAAGGUGGAAGAGAGGAGACACUUGCACCUUUAAUGAAAACCUUAAGUCAUGGUGAUAACUGACAGUUGCAUAUGAAAUGCUAUAUAUAAUCAAGGACAGGUUAAUUUGAUUGUGGGACUGGACCUUUGGACAUGUCCUGCCAGAAGGAUUUCAGGCUUAGACCAUGCUGACAUGGAGAGGAGCUCUGACAUUCUAGGUCUAAUAUAUCUGGUACUACAACUCUUCUAUUUCCUGAUAAAUCUAAUGCUGCUUUUCCUUCUUUUGAAGAACACAUGGCAGACCUUGUUUAGAUGAAAUGUGAAUAAAAUCUGAAAUUCUUAGAAAGUACAUUAUGACAAGUCUUCAGACAUUCAUCCUUUAACAUGUAAUUAUUGAGCACCUAUCAUGAGUAGCCAUUGUUCAUGAGUAGUCAUUGCAUUUGGCAAGAGAAAUGUGAUAACAAACAAGACAGAUGAUGUCUCAGGCCUCAUGUAGCUUAUAUUUUAGGGAUGAAAGAAAUGAAUGCAUAUGCAAGUACACAUUUUCACCCCUGAAAUGGAAUAAAGGAACAGGAUGGUAACCUGGGGUGAAUCACAUGUAGGUGACGGAGAGGGAUUUAGACAGAACAUUGAGAAAAAGACCUUGUGAGAGGUCUGACCUGAAGAAUGAGGUAGCCAAGUAUUUCAGGCACAGGGAAUCGUAAUACAAAAAAGCCUAAACAAAUAGAAAGUAGGUAAGUGACCAAUGGGCAUUGUGCUGGGAGAUGCAUGAGUUUUGAUAAUUAAGAGCAUAAAGCAAAAAGAUGUAUUUGUGAUGUUUGUAUUCAUACUAGUGCAUUAUUUAACAAGCUUCCCAGAGUUCCCAUUAUGGCUCAGUGGUAACAAACCCAACUAGUAUCCAUGCGGACACAAUUCAAUACCUGGCUUUGGCUUAGUGGGUUAAGAAUUCAGCAAUGCCCUGUGGAAUAGGUCACGGAUGUGGCUCAGAUCCCGCAUUGCUGUGGCUGUGGUGUAGGCCAGCAGCUGUAGCUCAGAUUCAACCCCUAGCCUGGGAACUUCCAUAAGCCACGGGUGAAGCUCUAAGAAGACCAAAAACAAAACAAAACAAAAAAAAACAAGCUUCUUAAGAAUCAUUUGCCUCUUGGGGAGUGUAACUCACUUACUAUUUACCACUGAUUAAAGCCAGCAUUUUAUAUCUCUGUAAAGAUAUAUAUUAAUUUUCAGGAAACCAAGAAACUAAUUCUUUUCUCGUAGAGCAGAUAAUCCCAAAGGCUAUGAUUUUAUUUCUCUGAGGUAUUUAACCUAUAUUCCAUCAAAGCUAGCAUUCUUGUUCCAACUUUCUUUGCUUUUAUCUUCCUUCUAAUCUUUAACUUAUUUGUGUCUUGUAUUGUUCUUUGAAUCAACUUUUUUAUCUCACUGGUUUCCUCAUUUGUGAGUUAAAUAAUUGUUGGAAAAUUACACUUUUGCUGGAGAAGAGGCAGGCAAGAGCUGUUCAUUUGAGGCCUUAAAGGCCUUGAAUUAACUGUUGGGCACAUUCUGGAUAAUGGAUGUGAAGGAGGCAUGGCAGCAACAGAGAGGCUGCUAAAGCCUACUUCAGCAGUCCAAGCAAGGGAUCAAGUCAGGUGGAAAGGGGCAAUUCUG
rnacentral:lncRNA from 9 species